rnacentral:lncRNA from 1 species
CGUUUCAGGCAGGAGUUGACCACUUUGCAGAAACAAAUGCAGCAAAACAUCUUGCUAUACAGGACCACAGAUUCUAGCCUGCUUUGAACAUACGCUGACACCGUGUCAAACAUUUUAGCAUACAGCAGCAUCAGUACAGAAAAUAAUCCCUUAAAUUAUGUGGUUAAAUAUCAGGAUAACAGCAAAAUCUAGGGCACAGAUUUUCAGACAACACAUGAAAACAAGUUCCUACCCACCUGAGAUUGCAAAAAUCCUAUGGCAUUUUUAAUAGAAGCACUAGGUUGAGAAGCCCAAGGGAUCCUGACUGAAACUGCAUUUCUGGUCAUUACAGUUCACUUGUUUAAAGCACGUCUUCAGUCUUCAACUGAGUAUUUGGAUAUUCCUUUUCAUUUCCUUCUGGAAUUGAAAAGGAGUUUGCUGUGGCCGUAUUUCAG